GCAUCGAUGGUGUAUGGUACACCCGCCGACAGAAUGGGUGGAUCAUUUAACAGUCAUUAGAACGGCGAGCUGGGGUUCGAUUCCCCGUCGAUGCA